rnacentral:rRNA from 1 species
CCAUACGGUAUUGCCUUAGUAGCGGCGAGUGAGCGGCAAAGCUCAAUUUGAAUAUCUGGUACUUUCAGUAUCCGAGUUGUAAUUUGUAGAAGCAACUUUGGUGAUGGUCUUUGCAUAAGUUCCUUGGAAUAGGACGUCAUAGAGGGUGAGAAUCCCGUAUAUGGUGAAGAACCCACACUAUGUAAAGUGCUUUCGAAGAGUCGAGUUGUUUGGGAAGGCAGCUCAAAGUGGGUGGUAAAUUCCAUCUAAAGCUAAAUAUUGGCGAGAGACCGAUAGCGAACAAGUACUGUGAAGGAAAGAUGAAAAGAACUUUGAAAAGAGAGUGAAAAAGUACGUGAAAUUGUUGAAAGGGAAGGGAUCUAAAUCAGACAUGGUAUUUUGUGAUCAACAGUCUUUCGGGAUUGUGCACUCGCAUUUUACUAGGCCAGCAUCGGUUAGAAGGGGGUAAAAAAGAUUUUGGAAUGUGGCUCCUCGGAGUGUUAUAGCCAAAGUUAAUUGCCCCAUUUCUGACCGAGGACCGCGUCUUUUGACUAGGAUGCUGGCGUAAUGGUUUUGAUCCACCCGUCUUGAAAACACGGACCA